rnacentral:rRNA from 1 species
UCGAGAAUCUUUCGCAAUGGGGGAAACCCUGACGAAGCGACGCCGCGUGCAGGAUGAAGGUCUUCGGAUUGUAAACUGCUGUCGGCUGGGAAGAAAUAGCGGACGACUAACAGUCGUACGCCUUGACGGUACCAGCAAAGGAAGCCACGGCUAACUCUGUGCCAGCAGCCGCGGUAAUACAGAGGUGGCAAGCGUUGUUCGGAUUUAUUGGGCGUAAAGGGUCCGUAGGCGGCCUGACAAGUCGGAUGUGAAAGCCCACAGCUCAACUGUGGAAUGGCAUUCGAAACUGUCGGGAUCGAGUGUGAAAGGGGUGAAGGGAAUUCCCGGUGUAAGGGUGAAAUCUGCAGAGAUCGGGAAGAACACCAGUCGCGAAGGCGCUUCACUGGUUCACAACUGACGCUGAGGGACGAAAGCUAGGGGAGCAAACGGG